rnacentral:rRNA from 1 species
UACGUAGGGUGCGAGCGUUAAUCGGAAUUACUGGGCGUAAAGCGCACGUAGGCGGAUCGUUAAGUCGGGGGUGAAAUCCUGGAGCUCAACUCCAGAACUGCCUUCGAUACUGGCGAUCUCGAGUUCGGGAGAGGUGAGUGGAACUGCGAGUGUAGAGGUGAAAUUCGUAGAUAUUCGCAAGAACACCAGUGGCGAAGGCGGCUCACUGGCCCGAUACUGACGCUGAGGUGCGAAAGCGUGGGGAGCAAACAGG